AUGCAAAAAAUGCUUAAACUAUGUUGUUUCUUUGUGUCUGAAAUGCUUUUCAGCUCUCCUGCAUGAAGUCCUGGUGAAACAGGAAAUAAUCCUUCAGCAGCAGCACGGCCUCACCAAAAUGGUGCAGGACCUUUUGUUGCUGUUGCUGCUCGUCAGGGCCUGACCACAGGGGGAAGUGUGGAGACGAGGCACCACGGCAUCUUCCCCUUGGCAGAUGUUCAGGCCCUGAUGGCCCUGGAGAGGGAGCUUGGAAUCAGUCCAACAUUGGCCCAUGAAUUGGGUUCAACACUCGGCCUUGCGGGGGGGUCCACAGUUAAGGACAUGGUGUGGCGGGUCCUCAAAGGAGCCAUGACUAAUGCCCUCGCCGAGGGCAAAAUGGGAAGGUGGCCUUUGAGAGGCUCCAUCUAAAAGGCAUUGUAAUUGCUGCAGUGAGAAGGAAUCCAGUCUGUGUGGCAUCUACAGAGGCAGAAAUUGUAAAUACAAUUAAAAAAUGGUUCUACUGGGCUGGGG